rnacentral:rRNA from 1 species
CCCUUAGAUGUUCUGGGCCGCACACGCGCUACACUGAAGGAGGCAGCGUGUACUCCUGGAUCGAAAGAUUUGGGUAACCCGCGAAUCUCCUUCGUGCUAGGGAUUGAGGUUUGCAAUUAUCCUUCAUGAACGAGGAAUUCCCAGUAAGUGCAAGUCAUAAGCUUGCGCUGACUACGUCCCUGCCCUUUGUACACACCGCCCGUCGCUACUACCGAUUGAAUGAUUUAGUGAGGACUUCGGACUGGGACCAAUGCGGCUUUCGGGCUGCGUCGGUAUUCUGGAAAGAUGUCCAAACUGUNUNAUUUAUNGGAAGUAAAANUCGUANCA